rnacentral:rRNA from 1 species
AUGAUCCAUCCCCGUACUCCCAACGGGAUGCUAACCUGCUGGGCAUCCAUUGCCAUGAUGCUGCUGCUGCUGAUCACGGUGCCAGCGGUCGCCGCCACCGGCGAUCCACCAACUAUGAUAGGGAUGCCAAACUGCAACACCACCUGUGGCAACGUGACCGUGCCUUACCCAUUUGGGAUGGGCCCGGCCCGUUGCUACCGGUCGCCGGGGUUCAAGCUCACCUGCGACCACGGAAGUAGUAAUGUCCCAAGGCUUCUGCUCGGCGACGGUCAUGCCGGCAUGCUUGAGGUCGUCGACAUCUCCCUCGACUCCAGCACCAUCACCAUCGACACGGUGCAGUCCGUAAACAAGAGCGGCUGGUCCGGCCGGUGGAGUCUCGGUGGCACUGAGACCACCGGUGGCUUGUCAUACUUCCUGGAACCGGGAUACAACGAGCUCAUCCUCACGGGCUGCAAUGUGAAGGCAACGUUAAGGGGGAAUGGGAGCCUCAUCAGCGGCUGCAUCUCUUUGUGCAGCGCUGGUUCUGUUAAGCCCAACAUUUAUUGUCGGCCAAACGGCAAUUUCACUGCCUGCACCACAAUUGGUUACUGCAAGUCAUCCAUCGUGACUGCCAGCACAUCCUUGGGAAUGGAACUCAAGCGGCUCAACUACUGCCUUCCCAAUCCCAAGGACAAUGAUUUGCCCGUGAAUGUGCUCAUCGCCCAGACCGGUUGGUUCGACUUACAGCAGUACCUGGACGUGGUUCUGAACAUUACUACCAGCGACGACAAAGAUCGGGGUAAGGCUGAUCAGCUCACUGUCCCCGUGAGUCUCGGGUGGGGGGUGAUUCACGGCCCAGCCAAUUAUCCUAUCAUCCGAGUGGAAUGCCCGGACCACACAGCCCAGAGCAUCUGCAAGAGCACCAACAGCGAUUGCAGACAGGCCGCAUACGGAGGCGCCUAUUCCUGCCGGUGCAUGAAGGGCUAUGAGGGAAACCCUUACCUCACCGGAGGAUGCCAAGAAGCCAAAGUCAAAGACUGCGAUCAGAACGGAACAUAUGGCUGCUUAGGCGACUGUGAGGAACUGCAGGGAUCGUUCCGGUGCCACUGCCCCAGAGGAACCCAUGGCGACCCCACCAUACCCGGUGGCUGCGUCAAGUCAGGUAACUUGGGCAUAAUCAUUGGUUUCUCGGUUGCUAGUGGCCCAUGCAUCCUGCUUUUGGUUGUUGGUGCACUGCUAAUAACUCGCGAUCUUAAGCAACGCAAGACGAUGGCGUUGAGACACAAGUUCUUUAGUCAAAACCGUGGACAACUGCUGAAGCAAUUGGUAUCUCAUAGGGCAGACAUCGCAGAGAGGAUGCUCAUUUCUUUAGAGGAGCUAGAGAAAGCCACCAACAAUUUUGAUCAAGCUCGUAGGCUUGGUGGUGGUGGGCAUGGCACUGUCUACAAAGGCAUUUUGUCAGAUCUGCAUGUGGUGGCCAUCAAGAAAUCAAAUAUUGUGGUCAAGAGAGAAAUUGAUGAGUUCAUAAAUGAGGUUGCUAUGCUCUCGCAGAUCAACCACAAGAAUAUUGUUAAGCUUCAAGGUUGUUGUCUUGAGACAGAAGUACCUUUACUCGCCUAUGAGUUCAUUUCCAAUGGAACGUUAAGUGACCAUCUGCACGUGGAGACACCUAGAUCACUACCUUGGAAAGAUAGGUUAAGGAUAAUAGGUGAAGUAAGCAAAGCUCUUGCUUACCUCCACUCUGCCAUUUCAGUCCCCAUAAUCCACAGAGAUAUUAAGCCUUCCAACGUACUUCUUGAUGAUGCCUUGACAGCCAAAGUGUCAGAUUUUGGAGCUUCAAGGUAUAUCCCCAUAGAUCAAACAGGAAAAACAACUGCAGUGCAGGGGACUAUUGGAUAUUUAGACCCUAUGUAUUAUUACACGCGACGACUAACCGAAAGUAGCGAUGUCUAUAGCUUUGGAGUCCUUCUUGUUGAGUUGCUUACAAGGAAGAGACCAUCAUUGUGUAUGUCCUCCGAAGGUGAUUGGAUUGUCACUCAGUUUGUUGAAUUACAUGAGGAUGGCAAUCUGGUCGAUAUACUGGAUCCACAGAUUGUGGAGGAGGGAGGUAAGGAAGUGGAAGAAGUAGCUACUUUGGCUGUGUCGUGCAUGAAACUGGUAGCAGGAGAGCGACCAACAAUGAGGAAAGUGGAAAUGGCAAUGGAGGCUCUCCAACCACCUAAGGAGCGUGUCAUGGGUGGUUUGACAAGCAAUGGAGCGAAUCGAAGAGAAGUAAGCAGGUGUUAUAGCCUAGAAGAAGAGUUUGCGCUAUCCGGGAGAUACCCUCGAUAG